CCUACGGGAGGCAGCAGUGGGGAAUAUUGCACAAUGGGCGCAAGCCUGAUGCAGCGACGCCGCGUGAGGGAUGGAGGCCUUCGGGUUGUAAACCUCUUUUAUCGGGGAGCAAGCGAGAGUGAGUUUACCCGUUGAAUAAGCACCGGCUAACUACGUGCCAGCAGCCGCGGUAAUACGUAGGGUGCAAGCGUUAUCCGGAAUUAUUGGGCGUAAAGGGCUCGUAGGCGGUUCGUCGCGUCCGGUGUGAAAGUCCAUCGCUUAACGGUGGAUCCGCGCCGGGUACGGGCGGGCUUGAGUGCGGUAGGGGAGACUGGAAUUCCCGGUGUAACGGUGGAAUGUGUAGAUAUCGGGAAGAACACCAAUGGCGAAGGCAGGUCUCUGGGCCGUUACUGACGCUGAGGAGCGAAAGCGUGGGGAGCGAACAGGAUUAGAUACCCUGGUAGUCCACGCCGUAAACGGUGGAUGCUGGAUGUGGGGCCCGUUCCACGGGUUCCGUGUCGGAGCUAACGCGUUAAGCAUCCCGCCUGGGGAGUACGGCCGCAAGGCUAAAACUCAAAGGAAUUGACGGGGGCCCGCACAAGCGGCGGAGCAUGCGGAUUAAUUCGAUGCAACGCGAAGAACCUUACCUGGGCUUGACAUGUUCCCGACGGUCGUAGAGAUGCGGCUUCCCUUCGGGGCGGGUUCACAGGUGGUGCAUGGUCGUCGUCAGCUCGUGUCGUGAGAUGUUGGGUUAAGUCCCGCAACGAGCGCAACCCU
rnacentral:rRNA from 1 species